rnacentral:rRNA from 1 species
UAAUACUCCAUAGAUUAGAGACACUGGAAUGUUCUUUAGUCGAAAGUUCUGGCGCCUUAGGAUGGAUCUGCGGUCGAUUAGGUUGUUGUUGGGGUAACGGCCCAACAAGCCUGUAAUCGAUACGGGUUGUGGGAGCAAGAGCCCGGAGAUGGAAUCUGAGACACGAUUCCAGGCCCUACGGGGCGCAGCAGGCGCGAAAACUUUACAAUGCAGGAAACUGUGAUAAGGGAACUCCGAGUGCCCGUAUACGCGGGCUGUCCAGGUGUUUAAAAAUCAUCUGAAGAAAGGGCCGGGCAAGACCGGUGCCAGCCGCCGCGGUAAUACCGGCGGCUCGAGUGGUGGCCACUAUUAUUGGGCUUAAAGCGUCCGUAGCUGGACCGAUAAGUCUCUUGGGAAAUCCGCCGGCUCAACCGGCGGGCGUCUAAGGGAUACUGUUAGUCUAGGGACCGGGAGAGGUGAGAGGUACUCCGGGGGUAGGAGUGAAAUCCUGUAAUCCCCGGGGGACCACCGAUGGCGAAGGCAUCUCACCAAAACGGCUCCGACAGUGAGGGACGAAAGCUGGGGGAGCGAACCGGAUUAGAUACCCGGGUAGUCCCAGCCGUAAACUAUGCGCGUUAGGUGU